GAUCAUGGCUCAGAUUGAACGCUGGCGGAAUGCUUUACACAUGCAAGUCGAACGGUAGAGGGGGCAACCCUUGAGAGUGGCGAACGGGUGAGUAAUAUAUCGGAACGUGCCCAGUCGUGGGGGAUAACGUAGCGAAAGUUACGCUAAUACCGCAUACGAUCUAUGGAUGAAAGCGGGGGAUCGCAAGACCUCGCGCGAUUGGAGCGGCCGAUAUCAGAUUAGGUAGUUGGUGAGGUAAAGGCUCACCAAGCCGACGAUCUGUAGCUGGUCUGAGAGGACGACCAGCCACACUGGGACUGAGACACGGCCCAGACUCCUACGGGAGGCAGCAGUGGGGAAUUUUGGACAAUGGGCGCAAGCCUGAUCCAGCAAUGCCGCGUGCAGGAUGAAGGCCUUCGGGUUGUAAACUGCUUUUGUACGGAACGAAACGGUGAGCUCUAAUACAGUUUGCUAAUGACGGUACCGUAAGAAUAAGCACCGGCUAACUACGUG
rnacentral:rRNA from 1 species